CCUUAACGAGAAUCUGAUACGGUUCCAGUCAGACUAGAGGGGGGAAGACGCUAAUACGGGUUCGUAACC
rfam:Nematostella vectensis strain CH2 x CH6 NEMVEscaffold_174_Cont17155, whole genome shotgun sequence.